UCCUAUUUCCUAUCUCUUUAACUUACAAACCUUCUUAUCCUAUUCAUAUCUCUUUAAAUUACUAACUGCAAAAGGAAGAAAGAAAGAAAAAGGGGAAAGGACGUGUGGGUAUGCUGGAGCAGCAGCUCCCACCCCUAUCUCUGCAUUCUUCUCCCUAGCACACUCAAGUGUGCAGUCCAGCUACCUUCUCUAUGGCUGCCCCCAUCCCAUCUAAUCCCAUACAUCAGCCACCCUACUGCCAUCAAUCUCGUAGAUUACUCAAGUGCAGCUGCCACUACACUUUUUCAAAUCAGUUUAUCAGCAGCAACCUUCUCAUUUUAUUCCCUUCCCACACUUGGAAGCUUUUAGAGGAGCAGAAAUCUCCAUCCAGUGUCCUGCCAACUUCAAGGUAAGCUUUGGCUUAAACUUCUCCAUCUUCUUCCAUGAUUCUAC
rnacentral:lncRNA from 1 species